UAAAUCUGUUGGCUGAGAUUACAUGUUAUGUAUCAUGAUUUUGUUGUCAAACUCACAGGAGAUAGGACAAACCACAUAAGGGCUACUUUACGAACCUCAAAUCCCCUUCAUGAUUGGAGGGGGUUGAGAUGAAAAUGAACUAAUUUUCUCUCUAAUCCCCUCUAAUCUCGAAGGGGAUUUGAGUUUUUAAACUAGCCCUAACAGUUUGUUCACGAGAACAGACUCUGAAGGCAAAAAAAAAAAAAGUAGGCCCAGCCCAGUUGUGUAAGCAGCCUUCACCGUAACACAAACCCACGCGGCCACGCCACUCUAGCUACCGAGCGAGCCAUGUCGCCUGCGCGGCCUCCUCCGCCUUCCGCUCGCCUCCGCGCCUUCCCCCGCGAUGGAGUCCUCACCUCCUUCUAUGCCGGUCGAUUCCCCAGUAUCCCUGGAUGCCUUAAUCGCCGAUCCUGCGGCCGCGCCGGCCGCGUGUACUGCCUCUUCUCUGGCGGUGAUAACCGCAAGAAACAGGUUCUGGCCUCCGGGGGUUGAGUGUCACAUCGGUGCUGCAUCAGGAUCAGGCAAACACCGUCGCGGAUGACUGAGUUGGCGGUAGGAGAGGUAUGCGGACAAGGUUUGGUUUUAGUGGAUCCUGUUGGGCCGGAUUUGGCCUUGUAAUCUCAAUUGUUAGACUUUGUUAAUCUCUGGUAUUGGGCCGUAUUGUGGCCGUGUAUUCGUGGGCGGGUCAGCCACACGUAUAAGAGGCAAAUAUCUGCGCUGAAGAAGGGAUGGAAGAACAGAAACCAAAUAUUCAUACCUCUGUCUGCUUCUCUUGCCUGUGUUCUUUCCCUUUCUUCUCUCUUCUCUCCGGUGAUCUCUGGCGAUAAUCCACCGGAUAUCACAAACUGGUAUCAGAGGCAUUUUCCGGCGACACUUCGAUCGUCGUCGAGCGACAUCUCAGGGAAGACAUCACGGCGCCAAGUCGGCCAUCUGUUCAGGCGCGUCACGUGGUUGCAGCCAUGGAAGAGGUGGAGAAAAGGCUGACUGAGAAGUUCCAGCAAGCAUGGGAGGCGUCGACUGCCACUCUCAUGGAGCUGUCGAAGAAGAUGGAUGGGUUGGACACGCUGUCGACCAAGAUGUCCGAGAUGGAGAAGCGACAGAUGGAGCAUGAGAAGAUCACACAGUACGUGCAGGCAAAAAUGGAUCUCUCCAUGAAGUCUCUGGCACAGGUAUCCCAAGAUCAAGCGCGACUAUCAAAUGUGGUGGCGAAUGCAAACCGAGGAGGGAGCGUCGCGCAGAGGGGAGGAACUGGUGACGGGUUGAUGGGAGCUCAUCCACAGGCAAUACCACCCAGUUUCCAGACAUCCCAGACCGCCCCUCAUGUGUCUCAUCCGACAGGAGGUUCAGGGAACCAUUCGUCAGGUGAGGAGGCAAGAUUUGGACAAGAAGAAGUUAACAGAAGAGGAAUAGAGUCGGAUCAACAUCACCGAAGGACUUGGCUACCCAAGUGGGAUUUCCCGGUAUUUGAAGGGGAAGAAGCUAGGGUAUGGAUAGAUAAUUGUGAAGCCUACUUCCUGCUAUACCAGAUUCCAGAGGAGUUCAGAGUAAGCGCUGCCUCUCUCCAUCUUAAGGGUCGUGCUGCUCACUGGUACCAAUCAUUUCGAGAUUCUGUCGGGUUCGUAGAUUGGAUUCAGUUCAAGUUGGAGAUUCGGAAUGAAUUUGAUCUUACUACACAUUCAGACAGGAUGUUGGAAUUGUUAACACUAAGGCAGACGGGGACUGUGUUGGAAUAUAAGACACAAUUUGAGAAACUUGUCUAUUGCAUUAGGUUGUUUGACAAGGCUGUGAGUGAGACCUUCUUGGUGACACAAUUUGUUUUGGGUCUCAAACAUGAGUUGAAGGUUGGGGUGGAGAUGCAAUUUCCUAAAACAGUGGCUAUGGCCGCUCAACUAGCUUUGAAACAUGAGAGUUUGCAUAGCAGACACACUGCAGGAACAAGAAAAGCAGUGGGAGUAAAGGGGGUUCCUCCAGUGGGCUUCAAAGAAGGUACAGAGUCUCAAGGAGAAUUAUGGAAGGCCAAACAAUUGAAGGACUAUAGGAGGGCAAAUGGACUUUGUUUUAAAUGUGGGGAGAAAUACAUGCCAGGCCACAAGUGUAAGGUUCCUGUACAACCAUUGUUGAACUGCAUCUCUCUGGAGGAGGGUGGAGAUGGAGGACCUUUACUUUCAGAUGAGCUAUUGGAUUAUUUGGAGACAAAUGGAGAUAAGUCAUAUGAUGGUAUGACAGUAUCCCUCAAUGCUAUGAGUGGCACUAACAACCCAAGAUGUGUGAGAAUACAAGCAUUGAUCAAGGACCAGUUAAUCCUUCAGUUGUUGGAUUCAGGCAGCUCUAACACUUUCAUAAGUGAGCUAGCCUGUUCUAGGAUUGGGUGUGAAACUCAGAAUAUAGAGCCUGUUGCAGUGAAGGUAGCAAAUGAGCAGAUCAUCUACUGCCAGAAGAAGGUUGUCCAAUUGAAGUGGUGGUGUGGUGGGAAAACCUUUACUGUAGAUGCAUUUGUGUUACCAGCCACUGCAUAUGAUAUGGUACUGGGAAUGGAUUGGCUGGAAAAGUUUAGUCCCAUGUUAUGUGAUUGGGAUAGAAAAUGGGUGGAAUUCAGUUAUGAAGGAGUGAGAAUCAGGCUGCAAGGGGUGGGCAAUAAAUCUGCAGCUCUGUUGCCAGAAGCAUCCCAUGAGCAAAUCCAGAGGUGGCACAAGGGGAAUGAAAUUUGGGCAGUUGCAUUGCUACAACAAGUGACACCAGAGUUGAAGGUAGUCACUGGUCAAGUCCCUGAGUGUGUUCAAGAGGUGUUGGACCAGUUUAAGGAAGUGUUUAAAACCCCAGAUUCUUUACCACCCUCAAGAGAAUAUGAUCAUACUAUCUCUCUGUUGCCUGGAACUACACCUGUGAAUGUAAGGCCCUAUAGAUACUCACCAUUACAGAAGGAUGAGAUUGAGAGGCAAGUCCAGGAAAUGUUGCAAGCAGGAACAAUCACUAGAAGUGUCAGCCCCUUUGCUUCUCCUGUUUUGUUGGUUAAGAAGAAGGAUGGGAGUUGGAGAUUUUGUGUGGACUAUAGAAAAUUGAAUGAUAUUACAGUGAAGAACAAAUUCCCUAUGCCUAUCAUAGAUGAGUUUAUUGAUGAGUUAGCAGGAGCCAAGGUGUUUUCCAAAUUGGAUAUGGCUGCGGGUUUUCAUCAGAUAAGAAUGGCAGACCAAGAUGAAAUGAAAACAGCAUUUAAGACUCACCAUGGACACUUCCAAUUUAGAGUUAUGCCAUUUGGUCUCACAAAUGCACCAGCUACAUUUCAGUGUUUGAUGAAUGCUGUAUUUCAGCAACUCAUGAGGAAGUGUGUCUUGAUUUUUAUGGAUGAUAUAUUGGUGUAUAGCCCUUCACUGGAGACACAUGUUGUUCAUCUACAACAAGUUUUUCAAGUAUUAGAAACACAUCAGUUGUAUGCAAAAAGGAGCAAAUGUGCUUUUGCUCUCACUCAAAUAGAAUACUUGGGGCAUAUUAUUUCAGACAAAGGUGUGUCAACUGACCCUUCUAAGACAGAAUCAAUGAGAAGGUGGCCUACUCCAAAGUCACACACGGAACUUAGAGGAUUUUUGGGACUCACAGGCUAUUACAGGAAGUUUGUCAAGGGGUAUGGGAUACUGGCAAAACCUCUGACGGUACUGCUGCAACAAAAACAGUUUGGAUGGCCACCAUCAGCACAAACUGCCUUUGAGGCUUUGAAGGAUGCUAUGAUUACCACUCCUGUUCUUGCCUUACCUAAUUUCAGUGAGACAUUUGUCAUUGAAACUGACGCUUGUGACACUGGCAUUGGAGCAGUGUUGUCGCAAAAGGGACAUCCUGUGGCUUUUUAUAGUAAAGCUUUAGGAGUGAAGAACAGCCAACUGUCAACUUAUGAGAAGGAAUUUCUUGCAAUAUUAAUGGCAGUAGAGAAGUGGAGAUGUUAUCUGAGUAGAGGACCUUUUGUGAUUCGGACUGAUCACAGAAGUUUGUGUCAUCUUCAGGAUCAGACUUUGGCAACGGAUAUGCAGAAGAAAGCAAUGACCAAAUUGGCCGGACUGCAAUUUUCAGUACAAUAUAAAAAGGGAGCAGAAAAUAAAGCUGCAGAUGCCCUUUCUAGAGUGGCCCAUAAUAUGGAAUUGUCGGCCAUUUCUGCAACAACUCCUGUGUGGCUUCAGGAGAUAACAAAUUCCUAUGAGUUGGAUACUCAUGCUCAAAGUCUAUUGGCAGAACUGGCUGUCUCUAGUCCAAAUGAGCAAGGGUUUGAAUUGAAGAAUGGGCUGAUUUACAAGAAUAACAGGCUUGUAGUGGGACAAAAUGUGGGGCUGCAAACAAAGUUGAUUUCAGCCUUUCAUGCAUCUCCUUUGGGAGGACAUUCAGGAAUCCAGGCCACCUAUCAAAGGGUGAAGAAGUUAUUUCUUUGGAAUGGACUCAAGGCUGAUGUGGAACAAUUUGUGAGGCAAUGUCACGUGUGUCAACAAGCUAAACACGAACAUUGUAAGUACCCAGGUCUGCUUCAGCCUUUGCCUAUUCCCCAAAGUUCCUGGCAAGACUUGUCCAUGGAUUUUAUUGAAGGGCUACCUAAAUCCAAUGGGUAUUCUGUGAUCUUAGUGGUUGUGGAUCGCUUGACAAAAUAUGCCCAUUUUUUAGCAGUUAAACAUCCUUUCACAGCUUCACACAUUGCUCACUUGUUUUUCUCUCAAGUGGUUAAACUACAUGGAUUCCCUCAUACCAUAGUUUCAGACAGGGAUAAAGUGUUUACCAGCACAUUUUGGCAAGAGUUAUUCAAAUUGUCUGGAACUCAGUUACAUCUCAGUUCAGCAUACCACCCCCAAAGUGAUGGUCAAACGGAGCGUGUGAAUCAAUGCUUGGAGAUGUUUUUGAGAUGUGCUGUUCACAAUUCCCCUUCUCAGUGGGCAAAAUGGUUAGACUCAGCAGAGUUGUGGUACAACACAUCCUAUCAUACUUCUAUAAAGUGUUCUCCAUUUAAAGCUUUAUAUGGAGUUGAGCCUAAUUUGGGAUGCAUUCCUGUCACUGACUCUUUGAAUCCUUCAGAAGCUCAACUCACCUUGCAGCAAAGACAGGAAUUCUUGGAAGUAAUCAAGACAAAUUUGGCAUCUGCUCAAAGCAGGAUGAAGCAUUAUGCUGAUCUGAAUAGGUCUUUUAGACAGUUUCAGAUUGGAGAUCUGGUUUACUUGAAGUUGCAGCCUUUUGCACAAGUUUCAGUGGCUUAUAGACCCUGUGCCAAAUUAUCAUUCAAAUAUUUCGGGCCAUUCAAAAUAGUUGAUAAAGUGGGAUCUGCUGCCUACAAGCUAUUGUUGCCUGAAUCUGCUAAUAUACAUCCAGUGUUUCAUGUGUCUCAGCUCAAGACACAUGUUCCAGAUUAUACUCCAGUGUUUACUGAGUUGCCACCAACAGCUUUUUCUGAAAAUGUGACUCCCAAUCCAGAAAGGAUAUUGGAUAGGAGGUUGGUGAAGAAAGGAUCAGCUGCAGUUACUCAAAUUUUGAUCAAAUGGGAGGGAAUUCCAGUUGAGAUGGCUUCCUGGGAGGAUUAUACAGUGCUGCAAUCCAGGUUCCCGAAUUCAUCCAUCUGGGGACCAGCUGGUGCUUCUGGAGGGGGCACUGUCACAUCGGUGCUGCAUCAGGAUCAGGCAAACACCGUCGCGGAUGACUGAGUUGGCGGUAGGAGAGGAUCAAAUUACUAUUUUCCCUACAGGAUGAAGCUAGGAAAGCACUGGAAAAUGCCCUAGGGAAGAAGGCUGAGUUUGACAAAUGGGGUGUGGAAAUUGAAAGGAGGCAAAGGGGCUACCCUAGAGAUCCUGCUGCUUGUGGUGGAGGAUGGUCAGGAGGAGGCAGCUGGUUUAGGCGGCUUACUGGUGGAGGUUUCUGGGAUGCAGCAAAACAAACUGUUCUUACAAUCCUUGGCAUUAUCGCGGCGUUUUUCCUGAUUGCAAACUUCAAUAUACUGGUGGCUUCUGUUAUCAAUUCGUUGUUGCUUGUGCUGCGGCAGAUUCGGCGCAUACUCUCCUUCAUAGCUUACUGUGUUUUCCAGGGCGCAUUGGUUGAAAGGUCUGGACCAAAGUCAAGUACCCUUGGCCUUAGCAAUGUGGCUGGAGUGCCUGUGAAAGAAAAGGCUGGAAUGUCUGCGAAAGAAAGAGUAGUUGGGAAAUGGGCAAUGGACUGAAGUAGUGCACAGUUAUGUCUUGUGAGCAACUCUCUCUGUUUCAAUGUAUGUACGACAGUAGACAUGUUACAAUAAUUUCUAUGAAACUAUGACCUUUUAAAUGAAAUAUGUUGUGAUGCUAGUCAAUGUUAGAAAAAAUUUGACCAAAAGGAUUCCUAAAAUCAGACGGAGUAUUUCUUGUUCAGAGUUUUGCAGACACUGAAAUGUUGAUGUUUGCCGAAUUGUUUGAGAUGAAGACCGUGAUUAGUGGUUGUUCAGAGUUUUGUAUCAGCGUUGCCACUCAAUAUGAAGUACGAGCAUUCGUGUUUUAA